rnacentral:misc_RNA from 1 species
UUAAGUUCAGCGGGUCUUCCUACCUGAUUUGAGGUCAGACGACGUGUGUAUUGUCCAAAAAGGACGACCGUGAGCCGUCCCGUUGCCACAAAACGCGAGCGAAUUUCAUUUAUCACACCGUUCGUCUGUAGAAAUGGGAACGGCCGAUACAUUUCGAGACGAGCCGUCUCACAACGGCAAACGUCCAAAUCCGAACCACG